GUGCCAGCAGCCGCGGUAAGACAGAGGGUGCAAGCGUUGUUCGGAAUUACUGGGCAUAAAGCGCACGUAGGCGGUUCGCUAAGUCUGUCGUGAAAUCCCCCGGCUCAACCGGGGAAUAGCGUCGGAUACUGGCGAGCUCGAGGUCGAUAGGGGUAAGCGGAACUCCAGGUGGAGCGGUGAAAUGCGUAGAUAUCUGGAGGAACACCGGUGGCGAAAGCGGCUUACUGGAUCGAAUCUGACGCUGAGGUGCGAAAGCUAGGGUAGCAAACGGGAUUAGAAACCCCCGUAGUCC
rnacentral:rRNA from 1 species